CCACAAUUGCCUCAUGGAUGGCUUCAGACACCUUCAGGCUCUCUGCUGAAGAGAUGCCAGACAGAUUGGCUGAUGAGCUGAACAGGUAGACCAUGGACAGAGCUGAAAUGAUGCUCAGGGGGGAGUAGAAGAUGUUCUCAUUGACAUGCUGGACUUUCAGCUCCUUGAAUACAUCAAAACAAAAUUCCCCGCUUGCUGCACCGAUGGAGCCCAUUGUGAAACCAGUAUUGCCUAGAGCAAACAGCAGAAGUACAAUGACAAGGGGGAACAAUAUCUACCAAAGAAGAGGAUGUUGUCAGUUGGAUUGUGCUUGAUCAAGAAAAGGAAAGGGUGGUCAGCCCUAAACUCU